rnacentral:rRNA from 1 species
GAGUUUGAUCAUGGCUCAGAACGAACGCUGGCGGCAUGCCUAACACAUGCAAGUCGAACGAGACCUUCGGGUCUAGUGGCGCACGGGUGCGUAACGCGUGGGAACCUGCCUUGAGGUUCGGAAUAACUCAGAGAAAUUUGAGCUAAUACCGGAUAAUGUCUUCGGACCAAAGAUUUAUCGCCUUUAGAUGGGCCCGCGUUGGAUUAGCUAGUUGGUGGGGUAAAGGCCUACCAAGGCGACGAUCCAUAGCUGGUCUGAGAGGAUGAUCAGCCACACUGGGACUGAGAUACGGCCCAGACUCCUACGGGAGGCAGCAGUGGGGAAUCUUGCGCAAUGGCCGAAAGGCUGACGCAGCGACGCCGCGUGCGGGAGGACGGCCUUCGGGUUGUAAACCGCUGUCAGCGGGGAAGAACACUUCUGGGAGGCAAUGCCCAGGAGCUGACGGUACCCGCAGAGGAAGCACCGGCUAACUCCGUGCCAGCAGCCGCGGUAAUACAAGGG